GGAGUUUAGCGUGCUCGCGAGUCAUUGGGCGUUACAAAACCUAAAGGCGAAAUGAAAGUAAAGAAAAUUUUAACAAUUUUUAAGGGAGGAUGAGCUACUGCUCUAGUCGUCUAACCGGCGACUGAGCGUGUCUCCGCACUCCCGGGGCGAUUCAUUCUCAUUGCGAGUUGAGGCGCACCAAGAGCGAGCACGCUGAAACCCGAAAGAUGGUGAACUAUGCCUGGCCAGGACGAAGCCAGGGGAAACCCUGGUGGAGGUCCGCAGCGAUUCUGACGUGCAAAUCGAUCGUCGGAGCUGGGUAUAGGGGCGAAAGACCAAUCGAACCAUCUAGUAGCUGGUUCCCUCUGAAGUUUCCCUCAGGAUAGCUUGCGCUCGGGUGUGAAGAGUCUCAUCCGGUAGAGCGAAUGAUUAGAGGCCUUGGGGUCGAAACGACCUCAACCUAUUCUCAAACUCCAAAUAGAUGAGAACCCCGGCUUGCUUGAAUUAUAUUUCAUUGAAGCCGUGGGACUCGGAUCAGAGUGCCAAGUGGGCCAAUUUUG
rnacentral:rRNA from 1 species